UACGAAGGGGGCUAGCGUUGCUCGGAAUCACUGGGCGUAAAGGGUGCGUAGGCGGGUCUUUAAGUCAGGGGUGAAAUCCUGGAGCUCAACUCCAGAACUGCCUUUGAUACUGAGGAUCUUGAGUUCGGGAGAGGUGAGUGGAACUGCGAGUGUAGAGGUGAAAUUCGUAGAUAUUCGCAAGAACACCAGUGGCGAAGGCGGCUCACUAGCCCGGUACUGACGCUGAGGUGCGAAAGCGUGGGGAGCAAACAGG
rnacentral:rRNA from 1 species